UAUUCUCAACCCUUCUACCUUUUUUUGAAAGAUGUUGCUUGGCUUGGACUUGGAGGUUUAUUGCUGGCAUUCAACUUGUUUGAACGCGGGCUCCUCUGAAAUGCAUUAGCUGGAAUGUUACCGAGCAUGAUUCAAUGUGAUAAUUGUCUACGUUGCUUCAACUUGGUAUUAAUUCUGUUUCAGCUUCUAACCGUCCCCUUUGCGGGACAAUAUCUUGAAC
rnacentral:misc_RNA from 1 species